UGGGGAAUUUUGGACAAUGGGCGAAAGCCUGAUCCAGCAAUGCCGCGUGUGUGAAGAAGGCCUUCGGGUUGUAAAGCACUUUUGUCCGGAAAGAAAUCCUUGGCUCUAAUACAGUCGGGGGAUGACGGUACCGGAAGAAUAAGCACCGGCUAACUACGUGCCAGCAGCCGCGGUAAUACGUAGGGUGCAAGCGUUAAUCGGAAUUACUGGGCGUAAAGCGUGCGCAGGCGGUUUGCUAAGACCGAUGUGAAAUCCCCGGGCUCAACCUGGGAACUGCAUUGCUGACUGGCAGGCUAGAGUAUGGCAGAGGGGGGUAGAAUUCCACGUGUAGCAGUGAAAUGCGUAGAGAUGUGGAGGAAUACCGAUGGCGAAGGCAGCCCCCUGGGCCAAUACUGACGCUCAUGCACGAAAGCGUGGGGAGCAAACAGGAUUAGAUACCCUGGUAGUCCACGCCCUAAACGAUGUCAACUAGUUGUUGGGGAUUCAUUUCCUUAGUAACGUAGCUAACGCGUGAAGUUGACCGCCUGGGGAGUACGGUCGCAAGAUUAAAACUUAAAUGAAUUGACGGGGUCAUAGCUGUUUCCU
rnacentral:rRNA from 1 species